GGAGUAUAGCUUAUUAAAAGCAUUUCGCUUACACCGAAAAGAUAUUUGUUCAACUCAAGUUACCCUGA
rnacentral:tRNA from 1 species